CGGCUCCUCCCCGGGCCGGGCCCCGAUCGCGGCCAUGAGGCCGGAGCCGCGCUCCCGGGACGAGACCCUGGCCCUGCGGCGGCGGCUGGUCGGCUCUUCCUGCAAGCUGUUCUUCUCUAACGAUCCUAUGAAGAUCAUCAAGGCAAAAGGGCAGUACAUGUAUGAUGAGAAUGGAAGACAAUACCUUGACUGCAUCAACAACGUUGCUCACGUUGGACAUUGUCACCCUGCUAUAGUAAAAGCAGCCCAUGAACAAAAUCAACUGUUAAAUACGAAUUCCCGUUACCUUCAUGACAACUUGGUUGAUUAUGCAGAGAGACUUUCAAAAACUCUGCCUGGGAAGUUAUGCACCUUCUAUUUUCUGAAUUCUGGAUCUGAAGCCAACGAUCUUGCCCUACGACUGGCACGACAGUACACAAACCAUGAGGAUGUUAUAGUUUUAGACCAUGCUUACCAUGGACAUCUGACAUCCUUGAUUGACAUAAGCCCAUAUAAAUUCAGAAAUCUAGAAGGACAGAAGGAAUGGGUCCAUGUGGCUCCUGUUCCAGACACAUACAGAGGACUUUACAGAGAAGACCAUGAAGAUUCAGUAACAGCCUAUGCUAAUGAAGUGAAAAAUAUUAUUGAGCAAGCACAUAAGAGAGGCAGAAAGAUUGCUGCAUUUUUUGCUGAGUCUCUGCCAAGUGUGGGUGGUCAGAUCAUUCCACCAGCAGGGUAUUUUCAGAAGGCUGCAGAGCAUGUGCACAAGGCAGGAGGUGUAUUUAUUGCUGAUGAAAUCCAAGUUGGCUUUGGCAGGGUUGGCAAGCACUUUUGGGCAUUCCAGCUGCAGGGAGACGACUUUGUACCUGAUAUUGUCACUAUGGGGAAACCAAUAGGAAAUGGGCACCCUAUUGCCUGUGUAGCAACAACAAAAGAAAUUGCAGAAGCAUUUGCAGCCACAGGAGUGGAGUAUUUUAAUACAUUUGGAGGAAACCCUGUUUCAUGUGCGAUUGGAUUAGCUGUGUUAGAUGUGAUUGAGAAGGAGCACCUUCAGGCUCAUGCCACAGAAGUAGGCAAUUUCUUGAUGGAGCUACUCAAGGAGCAGAAAAUGAAGCAUCCCAUCAUUGGUGAUGUCAGGUAUCAGCACCUUAUUUACAGUUUUUAGCUGCUUUUUUGUUUGGUUCACACUCAAUCCAACUGAUGUGGUUUUAAGAUAUUCACUAAAUCAGUGUUUGCAGAAAAAAAAUCCAACAACUUGCUGUGCAUCAGAUUAAAACCAACUUGAAGCUUAUCAAAAGCCUGAUAUACUUUGCCACUUUGGGCCAGUACUGCUUUAUUGAUGUAUUAGUUGCUAAAGGAAUUCACUUUCCUGUUUGAACUCUUACUUCAAGUGCACAAAGAACAGACUUAAUGAGCUCAAUGGAAAAUAUGCUCAACACCAUGUCCUGCACUGCCAUUCUGAGCAGAUAAAAGUCUGUGCUGUAUUACUACGUUUCUUCAAAACAGCAAUAUCCUUUCUAUCACUAGCCAAACAUCAGGGGUUCUGGCUUAUUUAUUGGGGUGGACUUAAUCAAGGAUCAAGCAGAAAGGACCCCAGCCACAGCAGAAGCAGAGUAUCUAAUAACAAGACUUAAGGAAGAAUAUAUUCUAUUGAGUACAGAUGGGCCAGGAAAAAACGUGCUUAAAUUCAAGCCCCCAAUGUGCUUCACUAAGGAGGAUGCAAGAUUUGUUGUGGACACAAUUGACAAGCUACUAACAGAUAUGGAAAAAGAACAUCUGAACCAACAGAAAACAUCCACUUGUGCUACCUGAGCAGGUUUCAAACAAUGUUCAAGAUCAUCUACUAAGAAACACUAUUCUACUAUUAUUAUGCACAUUUAACCUUCAUCCUAGCAUGUCUUAGACCAGAUAAGUUACCUCUGAUUUUGUUAUUUUCAGUUAUCUUGUUAUUAGUAAAAGCUUUAGGGGAAAUAAAUUUUGCAAGAGCUUGUUUCAACUCUGGCAGAAGUGCGGAAUUGGCUUUUAUUUAAAACAGCAUUAUCUCAAAGUGAUUAUAAAGGAAUGUAUUUCUAGUAGCUGCUAUAAACUACAUGUUUUAAAUUCAUGCUCUUUCAGGUUACGACUUUUGCAAAUGAAGAUGAGCCAGUGGGUUCUCUCUUUAAAUCUGCAGCUACCUAUGCAAACACCAUUCUAGCUGCCCGUACACCCAGUCCUGCCCAGGCUCCUCUAACCAGUUUCAGAACAAGGUCCCCAACAACACUAUAUUCAACAGUCUCAGUGACCAGAUCAAGUCACAAACUUCAGUCCCAAAUCUGUAACAUCAAAUGCACGAGGAACAGACAGGGGAGGGCCACGGCUCCCAAACCGGUUCUUACAAGAUACUCUGUCCUCAAGAAAUCUCCAAGUAGGAUUAGUAAAUUAAGAGUUCAUUACAGCCAUAAGCAACAACCUUGUGUACAAGCCCUUGCCUUCACCAGGCAAUUACAUGUUGUGUCACAAACUCUUCAGGGAAAGAAUACAGGGAAAGCCAGCUCUGCAUUUAAGUACCAGUAUCCUCAAUU